rnacentral:lncRNA from 1 species
AGUAGUGUGUCCCUGCUGACACCACUGGAUGAGCAAUGAUUUUGUGGAAUCCAUUCCUGGGAAAUUUUUCUCUAACGUCCUCCAACAGGAAGGAACAAAGCUACUGGACACAAAAAACCCCAUGAGCCAUCCAAUACCAUGCAGCAAAUGCUGAAGGAAAUGCUGCAGGGAGCACAAGCUAAGCCCCUUGGUGAAGGUGAUCUAGCUUCCCUACUCACAUCCAGGACUGAGCCUCACGGAGAUGGCGAGGGUCCUCCAACAGGAAGGAACAAAGCUACUGGAUACAAGAAACCUCGUGAACCAUCUAAUACCAUGCAGCAAAUGCUGAAGGAAAUGCAGCAGGGAGGACAAGAGAAGGACCAGAAAGCUGUGCUGAAGGCGGUGUUUCCCAGAGAAAACAGUGGCUCAUGGUCAGCGUCUGCUGCAGGAAGGGAGGCCAUGCCAGGCACAGUCUCAGAGGAUUGGGAUCGUGACAUGGAGUACAUGGAAAUGCUGGUCAGUGGUGGUUUGAAGACUUUGCCAGAUACUGGAGGUCCUCCUGCAUGGACGAACCAAGACAUAGAAGACGGGAAAUCCCUGGAGGCAUCCCGACUUCUGGACAAGAUGUUGAGUGAUCUGGAGACACACCGUGAUGAGGGUGCUGAGACAGCUUCUCCAGCAGCUGGGAUGGAAGAUGGCUUGGAACCAUUAGGAGGUUCUGCAGGUGUGUCUGCAGAGAGGACUUUCCCAGCUACUUUCCUGAUUCCUGAACGCAAGCUCGGCUCCCAUCGCAGGGGUCCUCCUAGAGGGAGGAACAAGCCUACAGAAGAUAUCAAGUCCCUGGAGACAUCGGAAUACAUGGAUGUGAGGCUGAGUGAUCGGGACAGACGUCAUGAGAUGGACCAGAAGUCUUUGCAGAAGGCAGAACUUCCUGCAGAAUGCAACAGCUUCAUUCCAGAUGCCUCUACAGAAAGGGAGGAGAUAGCAGACAGUGGCACAGAAGGAAUCGAUAUUAAGGAUUCAGCGCCCAUCUCUGGAAUUGUCCGCCCGCAGGAUGUUCGGAAAACCUGCGUCGUAGACUCAGUUGUGACAGUUAUCACUGUGCAACUUGCAUUUAUAUGCUGUUUUUUUGGGAUCCGGAAAGUCUACAAGAUCAGACGGUAAUUUGUUGAUUUUUUUCCAGAGUUUUCUUAAAACUCUACACACAGCACUGGGAGCCUGACACAUAGGCAUGCUGCUGUGCACUUGUUUGUAGUCAAUGGUAGUCCACAGAAUUCUGCUGAGAGUUCUGCUGCUGCCCAGGCCUUUCAUUGGCCUCUGAAUUGCUGGGCCUUGUCCUGAGGAGCCCACUUGUACUGCAGCCAAUGCUGGCUCCCACAGGGGCUGCCUGGCCAAGAGCAGC